rnacentral:tRNA from 1 species
GGCCUCGUAGCUCAGUUGGCAGAGCAUUGGACUAGUAUCCCAAAGAUCGCGGGUUUGAUUCCCACCGUGGUCA